rnacentral:lncRNA from 10 species
GAAUUUCAUCAUAUAAAUGAAGAGCAGUUAUACUAGCAGAAAUGUGAUCUUCUGUUAUGUGUCUGCCUGCCAUAUAAAACAAUAGUCAUUUUAAUGGUAGAUUUAUCAAUUUCUCCCUGAGGUCUGUUGAAUUUUCCUUUAUAUAUUUCAAGCCUCCAACAUGGUGAAACUCCAUCUCUACCAAAAAUACAAAAAUUAGCCAGGCAUGGUGGCAGGCACCUUUAAAUCCCAGCUACUCGGGAGGCUGAGGCAGGAGAAUCGCUUGAACCCAGGAGGCGGAGGUUGCAGUGAGCCAAGAUCGCAUCACUGCACUCCAGCCUGGGUGACAAAGUGAGACCUUGUCUCAAAAUAAAUAAAUAAAUAGGCCAGGCACAUUGGCUCAUUCCUGUAAUCCCAGCACUUUGGGAGGCCAAGGCGGGCAGAUCACUUGAGGUCAGGGGUUCGAGACCAGCCUGGCCAACAUGGUAAAACCUCGUCUCUACUAAAAAUACAAAAAUCAGCUGGGUGUGGUGGUACAUGCCUGUAGUCCCAACUACCAGGGAGGCUGAGGCAGGAGAAUUGCUUGCAUCUGGGAGGUGGAGGUUGCAGUGAGCCAACAUAGCGCCACUGCACUCCCACCUGGGCUACAGAGUGAGAUUCCAUCUCAAAUUAAUUAAUUAAUUCAUUAAAAAUAAAAGCAUACAAUAUUUGAAUUGUUAUAUCUUUUUGGUGAAUUUAACUUUUUAUCAUUAAGUUGUGGCCCUCUUUAUCUGUAGUAAUACCUUUUGCCUUAAAGUCUUCCACCCCACACACAAAUUAAUAGAGCUAUUUGUUUUCCUUCGGUUUGUAUUUGCCUAGUUUAUAUUUUUCUAACUCUUUACUUUCAACCAUUCUGUAUAAGUAUAUCCCCUGUAAACCUCUACGUUUUCUUUUUCCUUUUUUUUAGAUGGAGUCUCGCUCUGUCGCCCAGGCUGUAGUACAGUGCUGUGAUCUCGGCUCACUUCAACCUCUGCCUCCUAGAUUCAAGCAAUUCUCCUGCCUCAGCCUCAGCCUCCUGAGUAGCUGGGAUUACAGGCACCCGCGACCACACCUGGCUAAUUUUUGUAGUUUUAGUAGAGAUGGGGUUUCACCAUGUUGGCCAGGCUGGUCUUGAACCCCUGACCUCAGGUGAUCUGCCCGCCUCAGCCUCUCAAAGUGCUGGGAUUACAGGAAUGUGUCACGUGCUCAGAAAAAUUCUCAUUAUUUUACUAUAGAGUUUGGAUCCAUUUUUCAUUUAUUAUUACCACUGAUAUUCUUUAAUUUUUAUUUUGAAAUAGAUUCAAAAGAAGUUGCAAAGGAAUGACUGCCCAUAUUUUAAAAUUUUAUUUCUGCCAUUUUAUUUUAUACUUUUUAUUUGUCCUCCUUCUACAUGUCCUUGAAAUUAAUCGUUUCCAUUGCUUAUUUACCAUAACUAUCAUAUGCCAACUACUACAUGUGUUUCUGAAUUACAUGUUAAAGGGCUAAUGACACCGUAAUUGUUAUUAAUUAUUUUAGGUGGCUACUAUUUUUCCAGGUUCCAAGGAGGCCAAGUUUCCCCCUCUUGGCUUAUUUAGGCACUGAGUGUCUCUCAGGACUGUGAUACCAGUUUAUACACAGUUGCAGACAACAAUGAAGUCAAAUUAAUAGUUCAAUGUGCAUAGCUUGCCGUGGAGAAGCUCAGCUCUGAAGAAAUGCUUGCAUUUCAUAACAUUAUUCAAUGUGGCCACUAGAGGGAGGUCACACAUAGCUAUUCUCAGAAUAGUAUUCUAAGUUUCUAAUUUUUAUCAAAGAUCUGUCAAUAGUACACAAAAUUAAGGGAAAAAAACCCAAACCCUUUCUACUCUUAAGAAGACAUACAGUGCAGUCUUAAAACAAUAGGGGAAAUAAUUAAGUCAAAGCAGAGAUUUUCAAAUGGGGAAAAUGAAGCAAGACCCAAGUAUAUGCUGCUGCAAGAAAGGCACUUGAACUAUGAAGACACACAUAGGUCAAAAGUAAAAAGAUAGGCCGGGUGGGGUGGCUCAUUGCCAAUCAAAAUAGGUUUAUUUAUUUAUUGUUAUUAUUAUUUGAGACAGGGCCUGUACUGCAGCCCAGGCUGGAGUGCAGUGGCACUAUCUCUGCUCAUUGCAGCCCCUGGCUCUCAGUUUAAGCAAUUCUCAUGCUUCAGCCUCCCGAGUAGCUGGGACCACAGGCGUGUGCCACCACACCCAGCUAAUUUUUGUAUUUUUAGUAGAGGCAGGGUUUCGCCAUGUUGGCUAGCCUGGUCUGGCACUCUUGGCCUCGAGUGAUCCACCCGCCUCAGCCUCCCAAUGUGCUGGCAUUACACGCAUGAGCCGCCACCAUGAACAGUCACCAAUCAGAAUAUGUUUAAAUCUACCUAUGACCUGGAAGCCGCUCUCCUCCUUCCAGUUGUCCUGCUCUUCCAGAUAGAACUAAUAUAAACCUUACACGUAUUGGUUGAUGUAUUAUGUCUCCCUAAAAUGUAUAAAAGCGAGCUGUACCUCGACCACCUUUGUACAUGUCGCCAGGACCUCCUGUGGCUGUGUCUUGGGUGUGGCCUUAACCAUGACAAAAUAAACUUUCUAAAUUGAGACUUGUCUCAGAUACUCUUUGGUUUACACUACAGAUGAUCAGAAAAGAAAAACACAAGUAACCUAACCUAAAAAUAGAUCGGGCUUGAACAGAAACAUAGGCUUCACAAAAGAGAUCACACCCAUAGUUAAUAAGCAUUUGGAAAGGUGUUCACCAUCAUUACUCACCAGGCAAAUGCAGAUUAUUAGGUUGAAACAUACGAAAUUGCCGGCCGGCGCGGUGGCUCAUGCCUGUAAUCCCAGCACCUUGGGAGGCCGAGGUGGGUGGAUCACCUGAGGUCAGGAGUUUGAGACCAGCCUGGCCAACAUGGUGAAACUCCGUCUCUACUAAAAAUACAAAUACAAAAUUAGCUGGGCAUGGUGGCGUGGGCCUGUAGUCUCAGCUACUCGGGAGGCUGAGGCAGAAGAAUGGCUUGAGCCCGGGAGGUGGAGGUUGCAGUGAGCCGAGAUCGAGUCAUUGCACUCCAGCCUGGGCAAAAAGAGCGAAACUGCAUCGCAAAAAUAAAUAAAAGAAAUAAAUAAAUAGCCAAUAAAGGACAGGCGCAGUGGCUCACGCCUGUAAUCCCAGCACUU